GAUGAACGCUGGCGGCGUGCCUAAUACAUGCAAGUCGAGCGAACAGACGAGGAGCUUGCUCCUCUGACGUUAGCGGCGGACGGGUGAGUAACACGUGGAUAACCUACCUAUAAGACUGGGAUAACUUCGGGAGACCGGAGCUAAUACCGGAUAAUAUAUUGAACCGCAUGGUUCAAUAGUGAAAGACGGUUUUGCUGUCACUUAUAGAUGGAUCCGCGCCGCAUUAGCUAGUUGGUAAGGUAACGGCUUACCAAGGCAACGAUGCGUAGCCGACCUGAGAGGGUGAUCGGCCACACUGGAACUGAGACACGGUCCAGACUCCUACGGGAGGCAGCAGUAGGGAAUCUUCCGCAAUGGGCGAGAGCCUGACGGAGCAACGCCGCGUGAGUGAUGAAGGUCUUCGGAUCGUAAAACUCUGUUAUUAGGGAAGAACAAAUGUGUAAGUAACUAUGCACGUCUUGACGGUACCUAAUCAGAAAGCCACGGCUAACUACGUG
rnacentral:rRNA from 1 species